GGAUUAGAUACCCUGGUAGUCCACGCCGUAAACGAUGUCUACUUGGAGGUUGUGGCCUUGAGCCGUGGCUUUCGGAGCUAACGCGUUAAGUAGACCGCCUGGGGAGUACGGUCGCAAGAUUAAAACUCAAAUGAAUUGACGGGGGCCCGCACAAGCGGUGGAGCAUGUGGUUUAAUUCGAAGCAACGCGCAGAACCUUACCCAGGCUUGACAUCCUACGAACUUGGUGGAAACACCUUUGUGCUCUCUCACGAGAGAACGUAGUGACAGGUGCUGCAUGGCUGUCGUCAGCUCGUGCCG
rnacentral:rRNA from 1 species